rnacentral:lncRNA from 1 species
CCCACAAGUUGUCUCAGAGAGGAAGAGGCUAUCACCCACGUCACAACCCGGCAAUCGCCCACACGAAUGCCCAUCUCAUCACGCAGCACACACUGCUACGCCUGGUGAGAACUUCUACAUCCUGCAUCCCAAGGAGGUUAAUAGAAGACACCUCCGGGGUUCGGGAUCGCAAUUGCACUCAAGAAUGUGCACUGCCCAUACUGGACAAUUUCGAGCUACGGGGACCGGUUCCUGCUUGAGAGACGGGUUCCCGAGAGCCAUAUUUUCGGGACUUAGUCAAUUUUGCUCUUCCCAUCAAUUUCGCUCACGGGGGACCGGACCCUUUGGCCUAGGGACCGGUUGCAUCAAGCAACCCCGCGACCAUCAGCUACGGGGACCGGUCUCUCCCUACCAGGGAUCGGUCCCCGAGAGCAAUCUCAGCCAAAUGCAGACUUUGCACUAUUUGCUCUCGUGGACUUCAAUUCCAACGCACUUUUGGUGAUCUAAACAUCUUCGGCUUUUUCAAAGCACACCAGCACGACUCUUGGUCUAGUCGAAGCAAAGUCUAACUCUCGUAUUCCGAGAAUUCACUUCCUUACAAGCACAACCUCGACCACGUCCGGCCAAGGUCUCCGCAGAGGCACAUCGGCCAAUUCCUCGUCAUCCCGCACUAUGUUCGGGACACAACUCACGAUACGAGAGAAUUCCUGCUCGUAUUCCCUCACGGCACGGUCUACCUGCCGUAGCUUCGGGAACCUUUCUUGAAGCUUUUCUUUCUCAGUAUCGAGGAAGUAAACAGGGAAUAUCAAUCCCCAAAACCCAUCCCGAAUCAUAGAAGGAAAACUAGGCAAUCGAUUCCGUCGAAUGUCUUUCCACCACACCUUCGCCGAUUGUUUGCAAGCAACGCACAGCUAGGUGUAUCCUCUCACUCUACAGUGCACAGAUCCCCAAAGGGAGUCUCCAUGAAGUCGAUCCACAACUCCACGAUCAACGGAUCCGCAUCCUCUCCAUCAAAGGCAGAUGGAUCAAAUCGCUUAAAGAUCAUAAAGGCCGCCGAAGCUCGGUCCUUCACCGCCUUUGCUUCUAAGGUGCUAGAAGUCGGAAUGCUUGACCGUGACGGAAAUAUUUCCGUCGCAACUCCCGGUCGUACUUGACGAACAAUAGCUGGUAUAGCCACCAGUCGAUCUAUCAUCUCCAGGAGUCUUCUCAUUCGCUCCUCCUGGGAUACGGCAGCUUCCUGCUGACGCCGCACUAAUUCGGCUCGUCACCCCGCCACUGACACAGUAGUGGCCAAUCGCUCACGAAGUCCCAAGUCUCCGCUCGCCUCAGAUCGCUCAAGGAAGCCACUUGUCCUAUCCCGCGCCGAUCUACUUGAAGAUCGCCUACGCGGUGCCAUCGCUUCCUAAGACGCGACAGCUCGAUCGAUUCUCGACCCUCAAGGUCGAACGCGAAACAACUGACACCGACUCAAAUCGGGCGAAAGUCACACAAGGG